AUCACAUUGGAGCAUACUCAGGUUGCAUUUGGUUCCCUUCCAGAAACCAGAUCCAUGAUGCCUUCUUUCCUGUCCCGUCGACUUCAGAUUUUUGUAAGAGCAGUCACUCCGGUUUGUGUAAAGGACAUUUGAAAUUCGCGUUGAGCUG